rnacentral:rRNA from 1 species
AGUAAAUAGAUACCCGGGUAGUCCACGCCGUAAACGAUGAGUACUAGGUGUAGGAGGUAUCGACUCCUUCUGUGCCGCAGUUAAACACAAUAAGUACUCCGCCUGGGAAGUACGGUCGCAAGAUUAAAACUCAAAGGAAUUGACGGGGGCCCGGCCACAAGCAGCGGAGCAUGUGGUUUAAAUUUCGAAGCAACGCGAAGAACCUUACCUAGACUUGACAUCUCCUGAAUAGUGUAGAGAUACAUGAAGCCCUUCGGGGCAGGAAGACAGGUGGUGCAUGGUUGUCGUCAGCUCGUGUCGUGAGAUGUUGGGUUAAGGUCCCGCAACGAGCGCAACCCUUAUUACUAGUUGCUACCAUUAAGUUGAGCACUCUAGUGAGACUG